rnacentral:rRNA from 1 species
UACGAAGGGGGCUAGCGUUGUUCGGAAUUACUGGGCGUAAAGCGUGCGCAGGCGGCUUCUCAAGUCAGGGGUGAAAGCCCAGAGCUCAACUCUGGAAUUGCCUUUGAGACUGAGUGGCUUGAGUACGAGAGAGGUGAGUGGAAUUCCCAGUGUAGAGGUGAAAUUCGUAGAUAUUGGGAAGAACACCGGUGGCGAAGGCGACUCACUGGCUCGUAACUGACGCUCAUGCACGACAG